rnacentral:rRNA from 1 species
AUUAAACGCUGGCGGCAUGCCUUACACAUGCAAGUCGAACGGCAGCACGGGGGCAACCCUGGUGGCGAGUGGCGGACGGGUGAGUAAUACAUCGGAACGUGCCCUGGAGUGGGGGAUAACGCAGCGAAAGCUACGCUAAUACCGCAUAUUCUGUGAGCAGGAAAGCAGGGGAUCGCAAGACCUUGCGCUUUGGGAGCGGCCGAUGUCGGAUUAGCUAGUUGGUGGGGUAAAGGCCUACCAAGGCGACGAUCCGUAGCGGGUCUGAGAGGAUGAUCCGCCACACUGGGACUGAGACACGGCCCAGACUCCUACGGGAGGCAGCAGUGGGGAAUUUUGGACAAUGGGCGGAAGCCUGAUCCAGCCAUGCCGCGUGAGUGAAGAAGGCCUCGGUU